rnacentral:rRNA from 1 species
AGGGUUCGAUUAUGGCUCAGGAUGAACGCUGGCGGCGUGCUUAACACAUGCAAGUCGAACGAAGCAUUUUUGUGGAGACCUUCGGGAGGAAAUGGAAAUGACUGAGUGGCGGACGGGUGAGUAACGCGUGGGUAACCUGCCCUAUACAGGGGGAUAACAGCUAGAAAUGGCUGCUAAUACCGCAUAAGCGCACAGAGGCGCAUGCCUCCGUGUGAAAAGCCGAGACGGUAUAGGAUGGACCCGCGUCUGAUUAGCUAGUUGGUGAGGUAACGGCCCACCAAGGCGACGAUCAGUAGCCGACCUGAGAGGGUGACCGGCCACAUUGGGACUGAGACACGGCCCAA